rnacentral:lncRNA from 1 species
AAAGAUUAGUCUUAUAAUUCGUGUAUGGGUUCUUAACAAAUUUUGAUCAAUCUAUUUUCAUAUGUCAAAAUGAUUCUUUGUUCAUCAAGUCUAAAAUAAGAUGCUCUUGCACUAAUACAGAUGACAAUUCAUCCUUUAGAUAAUGAUCGAACAACAUUCCAGAUAAUCUUAUAACUUAUAAAUUUCAAAGAUGCUCAAGUUGAAUGAGAUGACUUGUAUGAAUCAUACUCUUGUAACUGAAACUAUUUAUGUUGCAGGGGAGAAGUUGUUGAACAAUUCAGCAAAGUUUAUAGUGGUCAUAUGGGUUUUUGUAGUGCUUAUAUUGACCUCAAGUUAUACAGCAACUUUAGCAUCAAUGAUGACAGUUAAAGAAAUGCAAUUAAAAGCCAGAGGAAACUACAUAGGUUACCAGGGAAGUUCAGUGGUCACCACACAUGCUGUACAGAACUUGAAUUUUAGUGGGGCAAAACCUUACAAUUCAGCUGAAGAAUAUGCUAAUGCUUUAUCAAGAGGGAGUAAGCAUGGUGGUGUUUCUGCUAUUGUUGACGAGGUACCAUACAUUAAGGUCUUCCUUGCAAAGUAUUCUACAGGCUACUCCAUGAUUAAAUUCGCGUCUACUACCAAUGGUUUUGGCUUUGUAAGUAACCUCCUUAAUUUUUGCAUCCUCCUUUAUUCAAGAACAUAGAUGCUGGAAUAUCACUGCACCUAGCAGAGAAGCAUUAUAUGUGUACGUUUGUCAAUUAUAAACAGAUAUGCAAGUACAAAAUUACUAAAAUGAUCACGCUUUAAAGCUGAUGAGUAAAUUUGUUUUCACCUUUUGGAUCCAGGCUUUCCCUAAAGGCUCGAGAUUGGCAAAAGACAUGUCAGUCCAAAUUGAAAAACUGAGAGAAGAAGGAAAGCUUUUAGAGAUGGAAAAUUCCUGGUUUCCUUAUGAUGCAAAUCACAUGUUUCAGGACACAACAAAUCCUCCCAAUGCUCUUACUCUCAGCAGCUUUCGUGGUUUGUUCCUUGUUAGUGGGG